UUAAGCGACUAAGCGUACACGGUGGAUGCCCUGGCAGUCAGAGGCGAUGAAGGACGUGCUAAUCUGCGAAAAGCGUCGGUAAGGUGAUAUGAACCGUUAUAACCGGCGAUGUCCGAAUGGGGAAACCCAGUGUGAUUCGUCACACUAUCGUUAACUGAAUACAUAGGUUAACGAGGCGAACCGGGGGAACUGAAACAUCUAAGUACCCCGAGGAAAAGAAAUCAACCGAGAUUCCCCCAGUAGCGGCGAGCGAACGGGGAGCAGCCCAGAGUCUGAAUCAGCUUGUGUGUUAGUGGAACGGUCUGGAAAGUCCGACGGUACAGGGUGAUAGUCCCGUACACCAAAAUGCACAGGUUGUGAACUCGAAGAGUAGGGCGGGACACGUGGUAUCCUGUCUGAAUAUGGGGGGACCAUCCUCCAAGGCUAAAUACUCCUGACUGACCGAUAGUGAACCAGUACCGUGAGGGAAAGGCGAAAAGAACCCCGGCGAGGGGAGUGAAAAAGAACCUGAAACCGUGUACGUACAAGCAGUGGGAGCACCUUCGUGGUGUGACUGCGUACCUUUUGUAUAAUGGGUCAGCGACUUAUAUUCUGUAGCAAGGUUAACCGUAUAGGGGAGCCGCAGGGAAACCGAGUCUUAACUGGGCGUUAAGUUGCAGGGUAUAGACCCGAAACCCGGUGAUCUAGCCAUGGGCAGGUUGAAGGUUGGGUAACACUAACUGGAGGACCGAACCGACUAAUGUUGAAAAAUUAGCGGAUGACUUGUGGCUGGGGGUGAAAGGCCAAUCAAACCGGGAGAUAGCUGGUUCUCCCCGAAAGCUAUUUAGGUAGCGCCUCGUGAAUUCAUCUUCGGGGGUAGAGCACUGUUUCGGCUAGGGGGUCAUCCCGACUUACCAACCCGAUGCAAACUACGAAUACCGAAGAAUGUUAUCACGGGAGACACACGGCGGGUGCUAACGUCCGUCGUGAAGAGGGAAACAACCCAGACCGCCAGCUAAGGUCCCAAAGUCAUGGUUAAGUGGGAAACGAUGUGGGAAGGCACAGACAGCCAGGAUGUUGGCUUAGAAGCAGCCAUCAUUUAAAGAAAGCGUAAUAGCUCACUGGUCGAGUCGGCCUGCGCGGAAGAUGUAACGGGGCUAAACCAUGCACCGAAGCUGCGGCAGCGACACUAUGUGUUGUUGGGUAGGGGAGCGUUCUGUAAGCCUGCGAAGGUGACCUGUGAGGGUUGCUGGAGGUAUCAGAAGUGCGAAUGCUGACAUAAGUAACGAUAAAGCGGGUGAAAAGCCCGCUCGCCGGAAGACCAAGGGUUCCUGUCCAACGUUAAUCGGGGCAGGGUGAGUCGACCCCUAAGGCGAGGCCGAAAGGCGUAGUCGAUGGGAAACAGGUUAAUAUUCCUGUACUUGGUGUUACUGCGAAGGGGGGACGGAGAAGGCUAUGUUAGCCGGGCGACGGUUGUCCCGGUUUAAGCAUGUAGGCUGGUUAUCCAGGCAAAUCCGGAUAAUCAAGGCUGAGGUGUGAUGACGAGGUACUACGGUGCUGAAGUAACAAAUGCCCUGCUUCCAGGAAAAGCCUCUAAGCAUCAGGUAACAUCAAAUCGUACCCCAAACCGACACAGGUGGUCAGGUAGAGAAUACCAAGGCGCUUGAGAGAACUCGGGUGAAGGAACUAGGCAAAAUGGUGCCGUAACUUCGGGAGAAGGCACGCUGGUGUGUAGGUGAAGUCCCUGCGGAUGGAGCUGAGACCAGUCGAAGAUACCAGCUGGCUGCAACUGUUUAUUAAAAACACAGCACUGUGCAAACACGAAAGUGGACGUAUACGGUGUGACGCCUGCCCGGUGCCGGAAGGUUAAUUGAUGGGGUUAUCCGUAAGGAGAAGCUCUUGAUCGAAGCCCCGGUAAACGGCGGCCGUAACUAUAACGGUCCUAAGGUAGCGAAAUUCCUUGUCGGGUAAGUUCCGACCUGCACGAAUGGCGUAAUGAUGGCCAGGCUGUCUCCACCCGAGACUCAGUGAAAUUGAACUCGCUGUGAAGAUGCAGUGUACCCGCGGCAAGACGGAAAGACCCCGUGAACCUUUACUAUAGCUUGACACUGAACAUUGAGCCUUGAUGUGUAGGAUAGGUGGGAGGCUUUGAAGCGUGGACGCCAGUCUGCGUGGAGCCAACCUUGAAAUACCACCCUUUAAUGUUUGAUGUUCUAACGUUGGCCCCUUAUCGGGGUUGCGGACAGUGUCUGGUGGGUAGUUUGACUGGGGCGGUCUCCUCCCAAAGCGUAACGGAGGAGCACGAAGGUUAGCUAAUCCUGGUCGGACAUCAGGAGGUUAGUGCAAUGGCAUAAGCUAGCUUGACUGCGAGCGUGACGGCGCGAGCAGGUGCGAAAGCAGGUCAUAGUGAUCCGGUGGUUCUGAAUGGAAGGGCCAUCGCUCAACGGAUAAAAGGUACUCCGGGGAUAACAGGCUGAUACCGCCCAAGAGUUCAUAUCGACGGCGGUGUUUGGCACCUCGAUGUCGGCUCAUCACAUCCUGGGGCUGAAGUAGGUCCCAAGGGUAUGGCUGUUCGCCAUUUAAAGUGGUACGCGAGCUGGGUUUAGAACGUCGUGAGACAGUUCGGUCCCUAUCUGCCGUGGGCGCUGGAGAAUUGAGGGGGGCUGCUCCUAGUACGAGAGGACCGGAGUGGACGCAUCACUGGUGUUCGGGUUGUCAUGCCAAUGGCACUGCCCGGUAGCUAAAUGCGGAAGAGAUAAGUGCUGAAAGCAUCUAAGCACGAAACUUGCCCCGAGAUGAGUUCUCCCUGAGACUUUAAGUCUCCUGAAGGAACGUUGAAGACGACGACGUUGAUAGGCCGGGUGUGUAAGCGCAGCGAUGCGUUGAGCUAACCGGUACUAAUGAACCGUGAGGCUUAACCUU
rnacentral:rRNA from 2 species